GAUGAACGCUAGCGGCAGGCCUAACACAUGCAAGUCGAGGGGCAGCAUAUCUAGCUUGCUAGAUGAUGGCGACCGGCGCACGGGUGCGGAACGCGUAUGGAACCUACCUUUGUCAGGGGAAUAGCCCAGAGAAAUUUGGAUUAAUGCCCCAUGGUAACAUUAUAUUGCAUGAUAUUGUGUUUAAAGAUUCAUCGGACGAAGAUGGCCAUGCGUACCAUUAGUUAGUUGGUAAGGUAACGGCUUACCAAGGCAGCGAUGGUUAGGGGCCCUGAGAGGGGGAUCCCCCACACUGGUACUGAGACACGGACCAGACUCCUACGGGAGGCAGCAGUGAGGAAUAUUGGACAAUGGGCGGGAGCCUGAUCCAGCCAUGCCGCGUGCAGGAUGACGGCCCUAUGGGUUGUAAACUGCUUUUGUACGGGAAGAAACCUGUCCACGUGUGGACAGCUGACGGUACCGUAAGAAUAAGGACCGGCUAACUCCG
rnacentral:rRNA from 1 species